rnacentral:rRNA from 1 species
GUCGCAUGCUCCCGGCCGCCAUGGCGGCCGCGGGAAUUCGAUUAGAGUUUGAUCAUGGCUCAGAACGAACGCUGGGGGCAUGCCUAACACAUGCAAGUCGAACGAGAUCUUCGGGUCUAGUGGCGCACGGGUGCGUAACGCGUGGGAAUCUGCCCUCAGGUUCGGAAUAACCAUUGGAAACGAUGGCUAAUACCGGAUGAUGACGUUAAGUCCAAAGAUUUAUCGCCUGAGGAUGAGCCCGCGUAGGAUUAGCUAGUUGGUGUGGUAGAGGCGCACCAAGGCGACGAUCCUUAGCUGGUCUGAGAGGAUGAUCAGCCACACUGGGACUGAGACACGGCCCAGACUCCUACGGGAGGCAGCAGUGGGGAAUAUUGGACAAUGGGCGCAAGCCUGAUCCAGCAAUGCCGCGUGAGUGAUGAAGGCCUUAGGGUUGUAAAGCUCUUUUACCCGGGAUGAUAAUGACAGUACCGGGAGAAUAAGCUCCGGCUAACUCCGUGCCAGCAGCCGCGGUAAUACGAAUCACUAGUGAAUUCGCGGCCGCCUGCAGGUCGACCAUAUGGGAGAGCUCCCAA